rnacentral:rRNA from 1 species
AGAGUUUGAUCCUGGCUCAGGAUGAACGCUGGCGGCGUGCCUAACACAUGCAAGUCGAACGGAGACGGACCUGGAAGUAACAGUUUACUGUAACGGAAAGACCUGUCUUAGUGGCGGACGGGUGAGUAACGCGUGGGCAACCUGCCCUGUACCGGGGGAUAACACUUAGAAAUAGGUGCUAAUACCGCAUAAUAAGGAAGACCGCAUGGUGAUCCUUUGAAAACUCCGGUGGUACAGGAUGGGCCCGCGUCUGAUUAGCCAGUUGGCGGGGUAACGGCCCACCAAAGCGACGAUCAGCAGCCGGCCUGAGAGGGUGGACGGCCACACUGGGACUGAGACACGGCCCAGACUCCUACGGGAGGCAGCAGUGGGGAAUAUUGCACAAUGGGGGGAACCCUGAUGCAGCGACGCCGCGUGAGUGAAGAAGUAUUUCGGUAUGUAAAGCUCUGUCAGCAGGGAAGAAGAAAGACGGUACCUGACCAAGAAGCCCCGGCUAACUACGUGCCAGCAGCCGCGGU